AUUUCAUUAAAAUUUCAGUAUUCUGUUUGCUGACAUCUGCGGUUUUACAAGUCUCUCGGAUCAAUGUACAGCGGAGGAGUUGGUGCGUCUAUUAAAUGAACUUUUUGCAAGAUUUGAUCGAUUGGCAGCCGAACAUCAUUGUUUGCGUAUUAAAUUAUUGGGUGAUUGCUAUUAUUGUGUCUCGGGGUUACCAGAACCCCGACCGGAUCAUGCCCAUUGUGCCGUUGAAAUGGGUUUGGAUAUGAUUGAUGCUAUAGCAUUGGUGCGUGAAGUGAUGGCGGUCAAUGUUAACAUGCGUGUGGGCAUCCACACCGGACGUGUACAUUGUGGCGUUUUGGGUUUGGUGAAAUGGCAAUUUGAUGUGUGGUCGAAUGAUGUGACAUUAGCAAAUCACAUGGAGAGUGGCGGCAUAC